AUUAUAUAAACAGAUGAGUCAGUAUUUCCUUCAGCAUGGCUGAGUUUGUGGUUUCCCUUUAUUGUUGCAGUGGAGGCUGCAGCACCGUCCUGCACAGAAGGUCAAUAUCUGCCCAGAUUCCUGAGUCCAACUCCAAACAACAGAGCUCAGCUCUACACACCAGUCAGUCAGACACUGGUGAUCACCAUCAGUUCAGAGGCAACUCAAGCCACAUCAACUGAGCUCCUGUACAGCGGGCCGUACAACGUAACUAAGAAUUCAUUGGGAUCAGGAAACUUCACUCUGACGUGGAAACCAUCUGUGGCUGAAGAUGGAGAAAGUCACCCCAUCUGUUUUGUAAUCCAGGCAACUGUCUCCAGUUCUCGAUAUCAGUCUGAGCUUCGCUGUGUCAUUGUAACGGUUGGAAACAGUCCAUCAGCAACUGCAGCAAUACCUAUAGCAACUACAACAACAGUAACCCCAACUACAACAACCCAAUCCCCAACUACAACAACCCAAUCCCCAACUACAACAACCGUAACCCCAACUACAACAACC